rnacentral:rRNA from 1 species
AACGAACGCUGGCGGCGUGCCUAACACAUGCAAGUCGAACGUGAUUGAAGAGCUUGCUCUUCAUGAAAGUGGCGCACGGGUGAGUAACGCGUAGAUAAUCUACCUGGUGAUUUGGGAUAACAGUUCGAAAGGACUGCUAAUACCGAAUAAGCCCACGGAGUCUUUGGAUUCUGCGGGAAAAGGGGGGGACCUUAUGGCCUUCCGUCAUCAGAUGAGUCUGCGUACCAUUAGCUAGUUGGUAGGGUAAAGGCCUACCAAGGCGACGAUGGUUAGCUGGUCUGAAAGGAUGAUCAGCCACACUGGGACUGGGAAACGGUCCAGACUCCUACGGGGGGCAGCAGUGGGGAAUUUUGCGCAAGGGGGAAACCCUGACGCAGCAACGCCGCGUGAGUGAUGAAGGCCCUUGGGUCGUAAAGCUCUGACAGAGGGAAAGAAAUGCAGGGGAGCUAAUAUCUCCUUUGCUUGACGGUACCCUCAAAGGAAGCACCGGCUAACUCCGUGCCAGCCGCCGCCGUAACAC